AACCCUAAUCUCACAGAAAACCCUUCUAUGAUCUCUCUCUCUCAAUGACCAUUCGCUGUGUAUAAGGAGCCUCAAUCUCUCUCGCUUUCUCUAUCAAUCACCAAGUGCUCAAGUGCUCUCUGAAUUUGUUUCUAUUCUCUGUUAUUUUUGCAUAGAUAUUUUUUUGUGCUUUUUCCUGUUUUGCAGGUAUUUUCUAUUUUUUCUUUGCUCUUUUUCUUUAAGUUAUGGAUGCAGGUUUUCUCUCUUCCUCUGCUUCAAUGAAGCAAGAGAGGCGUCACGCUCUUCGUGAGCAGAUGGUUCCAAGAAGACCUUCUUCAUGACAACAAUCCGUGAUUAUGGGACUCCUAUGCCACACUACAUGUUGUAUACUAUUUGCAUACUACAUGUUGUCUCCACUGUCUGUUUUCAAUAACAGCUGGUGCGAUGAACCUCCAUUUGCUUAAGAGAAUAAUGGUGGAGACAUGUAUCAGCUCCUCUGUUGGUCCUUGAGAAUGAAUGGUGGAGACCUACAUUCAAUACCCAAACUAUCUGUCACAUGCAGUAUGGUUUCCCUUUCCCUUACAAUAAUUUUACCUUUAUCUCGUUUUGAUUAUUCAGACCUGCUUUCCAGAUAUGGCUCUUUUUACAUGCAGUAGAGAACAUAAAUAAACUGUGGUCAUCCAUUUAUUUUAUUUAGAUUUGAAAGUUGUGAUCUGUCUUAUUUCAGGUAGAACUUGUUUUGAUUUGAUUCUAUUGAUAACAUAUCAUCUCACCUGAAUUGGCCCAAUUUGAUUUGAACUGAUGACCAAUUGAUUUUUUGUUUUGAAUGGAUCCUUUGGCACGUGCAUGCAUGUAACAAGCAAUGUAUUUAAGAGGGUUCGUUUUUGGGUUUACGGUGUUUGAAAAAAUUGGAUAGAAAUUCAGCAAGUGAAAUCCUGUUUUGACUUACUGGACUCACUCCUUGAGCUGAGUUGGUUGGGUUUGAUGUAUGUUCCAUGGAUUCUUUGGUUUGGCUGCCAUACCUGUGUCAGGCAUGACCAAUUGAUUUUUUUGUUUUGAAUGGAUCCUCUGGCACAUGCAUGCAUGUAACAGGCAAUGUAUUUAAGAGGGUUCGUUUUUGGGUUUACUGUGUUUGAAAAAAUUGGAUAGAAGAAAUUUAGCAAGUCAAAUCCUUGACUUACUGGACUCGCUCCUUGAGCUGAGUUGAUGUUGGAGGAGUUGGUUGGGUUUGAUGUAUGUUGCAUGGAUUCUUUGGUUUGGCUGCCAUACCUGUGCCAGGUAUGUAUCAACACACAGCUACACAAUUUCUUUUGGAUUCUUUUAGCUUGAUCACUCAUUGGAUUGCAUCAUUGACACAGACUUUGAUCUUCUUGUUAUUGGAUAAAAAUGCGUACUUCAAAAAUGUUUAAGAAUUCAACCAGCUAAGUCAGUUGAUGUUUUUGGUUACAUAAUAUGAAAUGGAAUAACAUCUCUUUAAAAUAUAAAUAUAGCCGUGUCUUUUAUCUUGUGCUUCUUGACAUGGAGAGUCUGGCACCUCGUACGCAUGUCUAAGCCUUACACAAGUACAUGUGUCCAUACAAGAAUUAGUUUCAUGUAUGGAUCUUCUGUGUAUUGGUUGGUUUAGAUUGAUUUGGUGAACUUUCUUGCCAGUUAUUUUCUUGGUGCUGGUUUUUAUACUGGAUUUCAUUCUAUUCAAUAUGUUUCAUCUGGCUCAUGUGCACAGAUCAUUUUCAAAGGUGUAAUUUGUCUCUUAUAGGUGUUGUGGAUGAUAAGAACAUGAAGAGAACAGUUAUCCCUGUCUGAUUUUUUAUUGCUGAUCUUUUCAAAUCUGACACAUGGUGCUAUUUAUCUAAAGUCAAGUCAACUUGGUGAGUUGUUUUCAGAAAAGCUGAUCACCUUCAGCUAAUCAAACUAUUUUGACUUCUUAGUCGAGGGCCCUAGAGGCCAGUGAUUUCUGGGGAAUUGACUUGACGGGGCCUGACUUUUUACACAUUGAUCUUUUUAUCUAAGUAGCAACCUAUUGUUCUCAGGUAUUACUUUCAUCUUUGAAUGUUUGGCAUAUUUUUUGUUCCUUUAUGUCCAUCUUGGUGAACUGCCUUCUUAGGUAUUACUUUCAUCUUUGAAUGUUUGGCAUAUUUUUUGUUCCUUUUAUGUCCAUCUUGGUGAACUUCCUUCUUAGGUAUUACUUUCAUCUUUGAAUGUUUGGCAUCUUGGUGAACUCUGUUUGUAAAUUAUUUAUUGUUAAUUAUUUCUUUACAACAUAUUUCUUGUAAAUCAUUUCUUUUAAGGAAUAUGUUUCUCCUUAACGUUUAGUCUCGAAAAUUAUUUGUUUUAUGAUUCAAGCAUUUUUUUUUUCUCUUAAGUCAUUUUCGAAUAUGGAGGUCUUCCCUCCUUAAGGUAUGUGGAUGAUGAGAAAGAGAAUAGUUAUCCUUGUCUGAUGCUUAAAUGCUGAUCUUUUCAAAUAUGACACGUGGUGUUGUAAAUCUCAUGUCUGCAUUGGAUAGAAUCGCUUCAAAAGAUGGCAUACACAUGUUUUUCCUUUUUAUGCAUUUGAAGUUGUAUGAUAUAUUUUCAUUUUUAUGAUUUUUAUUUGCCUUAGCAAAUGUUAUAAUGUAUAUACCUCAACUUUUAUGAAAAAUAUUUUUUCAUUUUUAUGAUAUUUAUUUGCCUUAGAAAAUUUGUAAUGUAUAAACCUCAACGUUUAUGAAAAUUUUUGCUUUAAAAAUGUUGAAUUGUGUCAUCUCCAUUUAAAUUUGUCUCAAUCUCCUAUUGUAACGUUAAGAAUCGUUUCAGUUAUUGUAAUCCAACUAGCUGUCAUCCUUCCUGAAAUGUUAAAGUUGGUAGAUUGUGCUGGGCUUUAUUUCUGUGCUACAUUUGGUAUUGUUCUAUUUUGAUGCUUUAUGUUUUCUCUUUUCAGCACAAUCUACAGGUCUUUGUGAUCUAAGAAGUAUUUACUUGUUUUUCUAUUGUGAAUAAAAUAUUUUCUUUUUCGUCCAUAGGUUGUUUGUUUAGAUUCUUUUAGGGAGUGUGCCUUUUUUUUUAUGUUUAAUUACUAUGAUUGACAUUUGCACAUUUGUGAUCUUAGAGUUAAUGAAAUACCAACAUUGGAAACUGAAUCAUGUAUAUGUGAAACUUGUAAGACUUUGUGGCGUUUGAGCUAUUUGCGCUCAAACUUAUUUUUCCAAACUUUUGCUUUCUUGUCUUUGAUACUUGUGUUCUUGUCUGCAUGCAUUGUCUUAUUGGAUUUUCUUCUUCAUUCAUAGGUUGUUUGUUUAGAUUCUUUUAGGGAGUGUGCUCUUUUGUGUUUUGUUUAAUUACUUUUAGGUUGAUUGACAUUUGCACAUUUGUGAUCUUAGAGUUAAUGAAAUGUCAACAUUAGAAAUUGAAUCUUGUAUAUGUGAAACUUGUAAGAGUUUGUGGCGUUUGAGCUAUCUGCGUUCAAACUUAUUUUCCAAAAACAAAACAUUUACCUUGUUUGGCGAUAGCUCAUCCUAAAGCUGAUAAAAUUAUUGAAACAGAUGCUUCAGAUAUAGGUUAUGGUGGAAUUUUCAAACAAAGAUUUCAGCCAAAUGAAAAGGAAAAGUUAGUAAGAUUUACUUCUGGAAUUUGGAAUUCUGCUAAAACAAAAAAAAAAAAUUCAACCGUAAAAAAUGAAAUUUUAUCCAUAGUUAAAUUUGUAACUAAAUUUGAAAAUGAUGUCUUAAAUCAAGAAUUUCUAAUACGAGUUGAUUGUAAAGCAGCAAAAAAUAUCCUUUGAGAAAGAUGUAAAAAAGAUUGCCUCUAAACAAAUAUUUGCUCGAUGGCAAGCUAUUUUAUCUUCUUUUGAUUUUAGAAUAGAGUUUGUUAAAGGAGAAUCAAAUUCUCUUCUUGACUCGAGAAUUCUUGUAGGGAUACUUGGAGGACUGCAGCAAAUAAUCCAGCUCUAAAUAGUAAAAAUUCGUCCUUCCUCGAAGGAAAAGAAAAUUCUGAAGGAGCUACUAGCUCGGGAACUAAGAAAAUAACUCCCUACAUUGAAAAAUCAAUAAUCUCAAUAUUAGUAAUAGAAAAUAAGCAUGUUCUAAAAGAACCAUAUAAAGUUGCAGAAAUUUAUCUAAAAGAUGAAUUGGUUUCUCAAAGUUAUCGCAAUAACCAUGUAAUUGGUUUCAUAAAGUUCCACAUAAUAAAUAACAAUUGCUGCAACUUCAUAUGGUUCUUUUAAAGCAUGCUUAUUUUCUAUUACUAAUAUUGGGAUUAUUGAUUUUUCAAUGUAGGGAGUCAUUUUCUUAGUUCCCGAGCUAGUAGCUCCUUCAUAAUUUUCUUUCUUUUGAGGAAGGACGAAUUUUUGCUGUUUGGAGCUGGAUUAUUUGCUGCAGUCCUUCUCUGAGUAUCCCUGAAAGAAUUCUCGGGUCAAGAAGUCAGGAAGAGAAUUUGAUUCUCCUUUAAUAUAUUCUAUUCUAAAAUCGAAAGAACAUAAAAUAGCUUCCCAUCGAGAGCAAAUAUUUGUUUAGAGGCAAUGUUUCGACAUCUUUCACAAGGAUAUCUUUUGUUGCUUUACAAUCAACUCGUAUUAGGAAUUCCUGAUUUAAGAAAUCACUUUUAAAUUUAGUUAUACAUUUAACUGUGGAUGAAAUAUCUUUUUUUAUGGUUGAAUAAUUUUUUUGAGCAGAAUUCCAAAUUCCAGAAGUAAAUCUUACUAACUUUUCCUUUUCAUUUGGCUGAAAUCUUUGUUUUAAGAUUCCACCAUAACCUAUAUCUGAAGCAUAUGUUUCAAUAAUUUUAUAAGCUUUAGGAUGAGCUAUCACCAAACAAGGUAACUGUUUUGUUUUUUCGUUAAUCUUUUUUACGGCCAUGGUAUGUUCAUACUUAGGUUCUUGUCUACAUGCAUUGUCUUAUUGGAUUUUGGUGCUUACAUUAUCAGAAACGCUGACUCUUAUCAUUAGUAUUUCUCAUGAGUUUUUCUGCUACUAUAGGUGUCCUCUUAUAUUUUUGGGGUUUUUUUGGGAGAAAAUUCUCUUUGGGGAUUUUAUUAGUUGUUUCAUGUUGUUUUCAGUCUAAUUUACUACAGUUGAGAUCAUUCCAGCACUAAAUGCACUGGAUCGCCUUAAAAUUAAAUAAUUAGUCCUCUUUCUUUCUUGUCACUCUUCUCUUGGUUUUGCAACAAAUUCCAAUUAUACUCUUGGUUUUGCAACAAAUUCCAAUUAUUGUCUUUGAGGUUGAUUUCCACUUUUGAGGCCAUUUCAGGUAUGAAUAUGCUUGCCAUUCUUUUUUAAUUUUUAAAGUUGUGUGCACUCAGUUCGAAGUUGGUGACUGUUAUGGGGUCUUUCAGGAUUUUGUAUGAUGGGAAGCUGCACUAUUGCAAUUGUGGCAGACUUUGAUUUUAUCCUGUUUAUUAUAUUGUGAUCUGUGGGCCAAUGAUGCCAAGCGUAGUGGCUGAAUAAGAAUACUUUUCUUUGCCAUGUUGAAGUGAGUAGUGGUCUUUCAGGAAUUUGUAUGAUGGGAAGCUGCACUAUUGCAAUUGUGGCGGACUUUGAUUUUAUCCUGUUUAGUAUAUUGUGAUCUGUGGGCCAAUGAUGCCAAGCGUAGUGGCUGAAUAAGAAUACUUUUCUUUGCCAUGUUGAAGCGAGUAGUGGUCUUUCAUGAAUUUGUAUGAUGGGAAGCUGCACUAUUGCAAUUGUGGCGGACUUUGAUUUUAUCCUGUUUAGUAUAUUGUGAUCUGUGGACCAAUGAUGCCAAGCGUAGUGGCUGAAUAAGAAUACUUUUCUUUGCCAUGUUGAAGUGCAUUUUACUAGGACGGUCUGAAGCCAUGCAGUCAUUUUGAGCUCUUGCUUUUCAAUUUUUUUAUAAUUCCAUUGCUGUGGUUCUCGUAUGGUUGUGUUUACUACACUGGGUUACAAGAUAUUCAUUGAACUGUCCAAUGAAUAACAUCAAUUUAGUGCGAAGGCCUGAGUGCCUAUUGCAAUUGUGGCGGACUUUGAUUUUAUCGUGUUUAUAUUGUGAUCUGUGGGCCAAUGAUGCUAAGCAUAGUGGCUGAAUAAGAAUACUUUCUUUGCCAUGUUGAAGUGCAUUUUACUAGGACGGUCUGAGGCCAUGCAGUCAUUUUGAGCUCUUGCUUUUCAAUUUUUUUAUAAUUCCAUUGCUGUAGUUCUCUUUAUUGGUGUGUUUACUACACUGGGUUUACAAGAUAUUCAUGGAUAUUCAUUGAACUGUCCAAUGAAUAACAUCAAUUUAGUGCAAAGGCCUGAGUGCCUAUUCUUUUUA